GAUGAACGCUGGCGGCAGGCCUAACACAUGCAAGUCGAGCGGAUGAUGGGAGCUUGCUCCUUGAUUCAGCGGCGGACGGGUGAGUAAUGCCUAGGAAUCUGCCCGAUAGUGGGGGACAACGUUUCGAAAGGAACGCUAAUACCGCAUACGUCCUACGGGAGAAAGUGGGGGCUCUUCGGACCUCACGCUAUCGGAUGAGCCUAGGUCGGAUUAGCUAGUUGGUGGGGUAAAGGCUCACCAAGGCGACGAUCCGUAACUGGUCUGAGAGGAUGAUCAGUCACACUGGAACUGAGACACGGUCCAGACUCCUACGGGAGGCAGCAGUGGGGAAUAUUGGACAAUGGGCGAAAGCCUGAUCCAGCCAUGCCGCGUGUGUGAAGAAGGUCUUCGGAUUGUAAAGCACUUUAAGUUGGGAGGAAGGGUUGUAGGUUAAUACCUUGCAGCCUUGACGUUACCGACAGAAUAAGCACCGGCUAACUUCGUGCCAGCAGCCGCCGUAA
rnacentral:rRNA from 1 species